UGGGGAAUCUUCCGCAAUGGACGAAAGUCUGACGGAGCGACGCCGCGUGAAUGAAGAAGGCCUUCGGGUCGUAAAGCUCUGUCAUCAGGGACGAACGGCCGGUGGAGUGGAAAGCCACCGGAUUGACGGUACCUGAGAAGGAAGCCACGGCUAACUACGUGCCAGCAGCCGCGGUAAUACGUAGGUGGCAAGCGUUGUCCGGAAUUAUUGGGCGUAAAGCGCGCGCAGGUGGGAUCUUAAGUCCAUUUUGAAAGUUCGGAGCUCAACUCCGUGAUGGGAUGGAAACUGGGAUUCUUGAGUACCGGAGAGGAAAGCGGAAUUCCCCGUGUAGCGGUGAAAUGCGUAGAUAUGGGGAGGAACACCAGUGGCGAAGGCGGCUUUCUGGUCUGUAACUGACGCUGAGGAGCGAAAGCGUGGGGAGCGAACA
rnacentral:rRNA from 1 species